rnacentral:lncRNA from 1 species
AAACACUCAGCUGUCUCAAGCCCACACUGAAGAUGCAUAGGAAAGAAAGCAUUUCACAGGAACCUGAAGUAGCAGUCGCAGGAACAAACAUACAUAAGCCAUGAGAGUCGGUUUUCUUGGGAGAAGCAGGGACAAAUUAAGUUGCAGAUCAGCUGUAAUGAAAAAAAAUGUAAUCGUCUUUUGCUGGAAGUGAACUCAGCCAUUAAGAUCCAAAGUUGCAGUCAGGAUUGUCCAAUACUGAAGGCUGAGUUGGCAAUGUGCUGAUUCUGUGUGUUGCAGUCGCUUGGCAUGCAGCUGCUCUAAGUUUUGCUGCAUAGUAAACAUUUGUUGGCAGUGAAAUGGUUUUACUUCAGAAAUGGUUUUGAGUUUGCAUUGGAUGUAUUAGGCCCUUUCAAGCCAGUUCCCUCAGUUCUGUGUCUUAGUUCUGGCUACCAUGCUGCAGGGUUUGCAUCUUUCAGCAACACAUUCCUAUAGCAGAGCAAAUGGUUUCACAUUCGGUCGGCCUCCUGAAUUGUAAUGAUUUUAACAACGGAUUGUAUGCAGACUGGUAUGGAAGAUGAUAUUUUGCAAGGAAUAAUGCAGAAAGAAAAUGAAAACUCAACUUUUUACUAGUAUGUUGGAUUUUAUAGUUUCCUUUGCACUUAUGUUGUUAAAAUGUCCCUUUGUUUUGUACACAGACAUCUUUUUAAUGAGUUUACAAAAUAAAACGAACUUCCUUGCUGUGACUUUUGACCCUUUGUUUCUAGGUGAAUAAAAUUGUCCUACAACUAGCCUGGUUUUUAGCCUUUAUUUCCUCAACAUACACUGAAAUCCUAUUAAAUGUC